AGGAUACUCAUUAGCUUCAAUGGUAGAUUGACAACUAGUGAAAUCAGUAUUUUUAUCAAACGUCAAAACAUGCGCUUACUAUGCUAGCUUCUAUGAAAUACUGGCAUGUGACGUCACAAUGAUUUGACGUGUUUU